UAAUACGUAGGGGGCGAGCGUUGUCCGGAUUCAUUGGGCGUAAAGCGCUUUAAGGCGGUUCGCUAAGUCGGGUGUGAAACCUCCAGGCUCAACCUGGAGACGCCACUCGAUACUGGCGUGACUAGAGUUCGGUAGGGGACCACGGAAUUCCCGGUGUAGCGGUGAAAUGCGCAGAUAUCAGGAGGAACACCAGUGGCGAAGGCGGUGGUCUGGGCCGAUACUGACGCUGUAGAGCGAAAGCGUGGGGAGCGAACAGG
rnacentral:rRNA from 1 species